UACGAACUGUGCAAACGUUAUUCGGAAUCACUGGGCUUAAAGGGUGCGUAGGCGGCUAUCUAAGCAGGGUGUGAAAGCCCCCGGCUCAACCGGGGAAUUGCGUUCUGAACUGGAUGGCUGGAGUGAGAUAGGGGUGUGUGGAACUUCCGGUGGAGCGGUGAAAUGUGUUGAUAUCGGAAGGAACGCCGGUGGCGAAAGCGACACACUGGGUCUCAACUGACGCUGAGGCACGAAAGCCAGGGGAGCGAACGGG
rnacentral:rRNA from 2 species